rnacentral:rRNA from 1 species
AUUGAACGCUGGCGGCAUGCCUUACACAUGCAAGUCGAACGGUAACGGGCCUUCGGGUGCCGACGAGUGGCGAACGGGUGAGUAAUGUAUCGGAACGUACCUUUCAGUGGGGGAUAACGUAGGGAAAGUUACGCUAAUACCGCAUAUUCUGUGAGCAGGAAAGCAGGGGAUCGCAAGACCUUGCGCUGAUUGAGCGGCCGAUAUCAGAUUAGCUAGUUGGGGCGGUAAAGGCUCACCAAGGCGACGAUCUGUAGCGGGUCUGAGAGGAUGAUCCGCCACACUGGAACUGAGACACGGUCCAGACUCCUACGGGAGGCAGCAGUGGGGAAUUUUGGACAAUGGGGGCAACCCUGAUCCAGCCAUGCCGCGUGAGUGAAGAAGGCCUUCGGGUUGUAAAGCUCUUUCGGCCGGGAAGAAAUCGUAUCAGCUAAUACCUGGUGCGGAUGACGGUACCGGCAUAAGAAGCACCGGCUAACUACGUGCCAGCAGCCGCAGUAACAC